rnacentral:rRNA from 1 species
UUGCGCAAUGGGGGAAACCCUGACGCAGCAACGACGCGUGAAAGAAGAAGGUCUUCGGAUUGUAAACUUUUGUCUGUUGGGAAGAAGUAUGACGGUACCAAAGGAGGAAGCCGCGGCUAACUACGUGCCAGCAGCCGAGGUAAUACGUAGGUGGCAAGCGUUGUCCGGAAUUACUGGGUGGAAAGGGCGUGUAGGCGGGCAAUCAAGUCAGAUGUGAAAUACCGAAGCUUAACUUCGGGGCUGCAUUUGAAACUGAUUGUCUUGAGUGCAGGAGAGGAAAGCGGAAUUCCUAGUGUAGCGGUGAAAUGCGUAGAUAUUAGGAGGAACACCAGUGGCGAAGGCGGCUUUCUGGACUGUAACUGACGCUGAGGCGCGAAAGCGUGGGGAGCAAACAGG